rnacentral:rRNA from 1 species
AGGCUGAAACUCGCCUACAUGAAGCUGGAGUUGCUAGUAAUCGCGAAUCAGCAUGUCGCGGUGAAUACGUUCCCGGGCCUUGUACACACCGCCCGUCACACCAUGAGAGUUGGCAAUACCCAACGUACGUGAUCUAACCCGCAAGGGAGGAAGCGUCCUAAGGUAGGGUCGGCGAUUGGGGUGAAGUCGUAACAAGGUACC